AAAGAAUGAACCGGUACAACAUAACAAGUGGCAUGUGGGUAAAUUUCGUGAAAACACCCAUCCACAGCCGGCCACAGCCACUCCCAUAGUGCUGUGAAAAACGAACUAAAAAAUGAACUGACUGUUGGUGUUUCGUACCGUCGACUAGUGAUCGUAUGUCGCGCUCUCCUCACUUCUGAUGGCUUGCACACAAGAGGCAAUGAGUUAUACUAAUUUGGGGAAAUCCAUAUGUCCAGUUUUGGCAGGAG
rnacentral:lncRNA from 1 species